rnacentral:rRNA from 1 species
CCCAGACUCCUACGGGAGGCAGCAGUGGGGAAUAUUGGACAAUGGGGGGAACCCUGAUCCAGCGACGCCGCGUGAGUGAAGAAGUAUUUCGGUAUGUAAAGCUCUAUCAGCAGGGAAGAAAGAAAUGACGGUACCUGACUAAGAAGCCCCGGCUAACUACGUGCCAGCAGCCGCGGUAAUACGUAGGGGGCAAGCGUUAUCCGGAUUUACUGGGUGUAAAGGGAGCGUAGACGGCUAUGCAAGUCUGGAGUGGAAGGCGGGGGCCCAACCCCCGGACUGCUCUGGAAACUGUAGAGCUAGAGUGCAGGAGAGGUAAGUGGAAUUCCUAGUGUAGCGGUGAAAUGCGUAGAUAUUAGGAGGAACACCAGUGGCGAAGGCGGCUUACUGGACUGUAACUGACGUUGAGGCUCGAAAGCGUGGGGAGCAAACAGGAUUAGAUACCCGAGUA